GACGAACGCUGGCGGCGUGCUUAACACAUGCAAGUCGAACGGAAGGGCCCUGCUCUUGUGGGGUUCUCGAGUGGCGAACGGGUGAGUAACACGUGAGUAACCUGCCCUUGACUUUGGGAUAACUUCAGGAAACUGGGGCUAAUACCGGAUAGGAGCUCCUGCUGCAUGGUGGGGGUUGGAAAGUUUCGGCGGUUGGGGAUGGACUCGCGGCUUAUCCGCUUGUUGGUGGGGUAGUGGCUUACCAAGGCUUUGACGGCUAGCCGGCCUGAGAGGGUGACCGGCCACCUGGGGACUGAGAGACGGACCAGACUCCAACCGGAGGCAGCAGUGGGGAAUAUUGCACAGUGGGCGGAAGCCUGAUGCAGCAACGCCGCGUGCGGGAUGACGGCCUUCGGGGUGUAAACCGCUUUGGCCUGUGACGAAGCGUGAGUGACGGUAAUGGGUAAAGAAGCACCGGCUAACUACGUG
rnacentral:rRNA from 1 species